AUUAAUGCAGGCUAAGUCGCCUUGCCUUAUAAGAAUAGUUUACCGCGUCAGGUUUCCAGUCC
rnacentral:sRNA from 1 species